rnacentral:rRNA from 1 species
UACAGAGGGUGCAAGCGUUGUUCGGAAUUACUGGGCGUAAAGGGCGCGUAGGCGGCCCCCUAAGUCAGACGUGAAAUCCCUCGGCUCAACCGGGGAACUGCGUCUGAUACUGGGUGGCUUGAGUUCGGGAGAGGGAUGCGGAAUUCCAGGUGUAGCGGUGAAAUGCGUAGAUAUCUGGAGGAACACCGGUGGCGAAGGCGGCAUCCUGGACCGAGAUUGACGCUGAGGCGCGAAAGCCAGGGGAGCAAACGGG